rnacentral:rRNA from 1 species
CAGCAGCCGCGGUAAUACGAAGGUGGCUAGCGUUGUUCGGAAUCACUGGGCUUAAAGAGCACGUAGGCGGCUUAUCAAGCGUUAUGUGAAAUCCCUCGACUCAAUCGAGGAAUUGCUUAGCGAACUGAUAGGCUUGAGGCAGGCAGGGGCAAGUGGAACUCUUGGUGGAGCGGUGGAAUGCGUAGAUAUCAAGAGGAACGCCAGAGGCGAAGGCGACUUGCUGGGCCUGACCUGACGCUCAGGUGCGAAAGCUAGGGGAGCGAACGGGAUUAGAUACCCCGGUAGUCCUAGCCCUAAACGAUGUCAACUAGAUCGAUGGUUCUCUGACGUUCUGUCGGUCGAAAUAAAAACGUUAAGUUGACCGCCUGGGGAGUACGGUCGCAAGGCUAAAACUCAAAGGAAUUGACGGGGGCUCACACAAGCGGUGGAGCAUGUUGCUUAAUUUGAUGCAACGCGAAGAACCUUAUCCUGGGCUUGACAUGUUAGGAUGCCCAUCUGGAAACAGAGUAGGCUGCCCUUCGGGGUGAAACUUUCACAGGUGCUGCAUGGCUGUCGUCAGCUCGUGUCGUGAGAUGUUGGGUUAAGUCCCGUAACGAGCGAAACCCUUGUCGCUAGUUGCCAGCGCGUUAUGGCGGGGACUCUACAGAGACUGCCGGUGUUAAACCGGAGGAAGGUGGGGAUGACGUCAAGUCCUCAUGGCCUUUAUGCCCAGGGCUGCAAACGUGGUACAAUGGUAGAUACAAACCGACGCAAGACCGCGAGGUGGAGCAAAUCGGAAAAAGUCUGCCCCAGUUCGGAUUGUAGUCUGCAACUCGACUACAUGAAGUUGGAAUCGCUAGUAAUCGUAGAUCAGCUACGCUACGGUGAAUGUGUCCCUGAGCCUUGUACACACCGCCCGUCAAGUCAUGGAAGCUGGUAGCGCCCGAAGUCGGCCCAAUUCAGGGUCGCCGAAGGUGAGAUCGGUGACUGGGACUAAGUCGUAACAAGGUAACCGUA